CAAGGCAUGGAAGCCCCGGGGCGACGCUGUCUCCGGGGCGGCGGGGCGGGCUCGGGGCGGCGGGCGGGGGGCGCCGCCGUCUCCCCUCAGCGCUGGCUGCGGUGGUACAUCGUGCACAGGAGCCGCAAACACGAGGCACAUCGGGGCUGGCAGUCGGCAUCUUCAACCUCCAUUUUCAAACACCGCACACACGCACACACACAGAGACACAAAAACUGGGAGGGCCGCGGAGGGAGGGGAAGGGGGGGGGCGCGACCCAGACAAUCCUAUUACAAAACAACAACAGCUCCGCCGUCCCCCCGCGCGGGGACGGGGCUGCCCCGGCGGGAUCCCCGCGGCUCCGCUCCCCGCUCCGCCGGGGAGGUUGGGGGGGACACCCCACGCACAACCACCACCCACAACAACACCGCCGCCGCCACCACGAGUCCGGCUGCCUGCAGAGGCUCGAAAUGCAGAAUUUGGGUCGAAAAUGAAUUAAAAAGGCUUCCCCCCUACUCCUCCUCUUCCUCUCCUCGGCGCGGCUGCCACAAGCUCCUUCUCAAAAAAGAAAAAAAAAAAAAAAGAAAAAAAAAGAAAAAAAAAAGAAAAAAAAGCCGAAUCCAGGACACACACACAAAGCAGCAGCAGCGGCAGCAGCAGCAGCAGCAGCGGGGCGAGCGGAGCGCUCAGCACCCCGCCUCCUCCCCCCGCAGCUCUCCUCUUCGCAUCCCUCCGAGCCGCCUUGCCAUCGCGGCGGGGGCGGGGGGGAGGAGGACGACGACAACAACAACAACAACAAAAACCACCCAGCGAAUUUGUAAGUCCUUUUCCUUUUUUUUUUUUUUUUUUUUUCCUUUCCUCCCUUUCCUCCUCUUUUCCCUCCUCCUCUGGGUGCGCGCGCGCUGCGAACCUUCCCCCGGCGCUGCCCAGCCCAAGGCAGGGGGAGGGGGAUCCGGGAGAGGUGUGGGGGUGUGGGUGUGUGUAUGUGUGUGUGUCUGUGUGUGUGUGAGUGAGCAGGGGGGGCUGCGGGGGGCGAGGAAGGCGAUCCGGUUUGCUGAAGGUCAAACCCCAGGAGCUUGUUGCGAAGGCCAUGUCAGCUCCCUGGGAUGAAGGUCAGCCACCACGGAGCACUGCCUCUGUCUGCUCCAGGGGCUGCUUUUUGGAAGGUCUCUGCAGCUCUUUGCCAUGGGCCAGCAGCUGAGAGCACCCACUGCAGCCACCUCGUCUGCUCCAGGAGCUGCUGCCAGCUCACCUUGUUCAGCCUCUGCUUCAGGGUGAACGUUCUUGUUGUGGGGAGGUGUGGGUAGAUCUGCAGGAAUAGGGUAGAAGUGAACAUCUCACUGCAACAUGGAGAGGGCUGUGCAGAAUCCUGCAGCUGCAGGAGAACAACCUCUUAGGACAAAGAGAAGGGGAAAAAAACCUCAACAAUUGGACACGUUUGAUGUGUGAAAGAUUUAACUACCAGAAAGCUGAUCAGAUAGACCCAAAUGAAGGAUAUUUCUUUGGCUCUGAGUGAUUUCUAUUUCUCCUGGCCCUAAAACUACUGCAAGCAGGAGCUGAAGAUUGUUCCCUUCUGGAGGAAAGAAAAAGCAGAAGGAAGAAAGGGUACUGUUUAUUACCUCUUUCCCAUUCACAUCCCUCCUUCAAACCAGGGAUAUGCAGUUACGUGGAUGAUUUAAGGGCAGCAGCUGAGUAGGAAUAACUAUAAAAUUCAUGUUUUAAUAACAACAACAAUAAUAAGCACACAACAGCAUUUAUAACCCUAGUUACAGGCCUGAGAUAUCAUAUCCAUAGCAACUGCAGCAAGCGGUGAAUGCCAUAUAUUUAGAGUUCCCGUGCACCUGCCUAAAAUAGCCACCGAUAAAUUAUGCUGAUGUUUGUGCCUUUUUGACAGGGUUUUAAAGGGCUGUCAGUGCACUCUGCAGCCACGCUGAGCCUUUGUGGCACGGCACAGCAGCAGCCAAACCCUUUCCCUACCAGACCCCGUGCCUGCGUCCCCUCUUGUGCUUCUGGGUGUGAGAAAUUUGUGACAAAAGGCACCUCGAAGGUGAGCACAGUGAGCCAGAGGUGCAGGGGACCAGCUGCUCCCAGCGCCUGCUGGUUCCCCACUCCGGCUGUCAGAACCUGCCUCCUGUUAAUGGAUUGAAUUAAUAAACUGUUGCAAGUAAUUAGGGCUCUAUCCUGCUCCUGUUGCAGGCAGUGUUGAGGUGAUCAUGCUGCAUAUUAAUGGCGUGUGUGUAAAUAGUUUACAAAGAGUUAAUGAGUGCCUGGGAGGUGUUGGAAGACGUGGCCAGUCAGUUGUGGAGAUUGGUGCAGAGUCCAACAGGUCAAUUGCGUGCCUGUAACCGUGGCUUAUGAGCAUCCACCAGGCCAUCUGUUGAUGUGCUUAUUGCAUUUUAUAGCACAACCUCCCGAUGUCUGCAACGUGCUUAUAACAGCUAUUAAUCUUGUAUUAUUAACUCUUUCAAAGCAACGUGCAUUUGAGCUUUAACAUCACCAGCAAGGAUUUCACCAAGUUAACAAGGAGAGGGAUCUGAUUUUUACCCCAUGUACUGUGCAGCAAGGGUCUGUCCCUACUGUAUUAUGUGGUAUUUUCAUUGACCACUUUGGGUUUUCACAUCUUAAACUUAAAUAUGGAUGUGGAUGGAACAUGAAGCAACCUGGUCUAGCAAAGGUGUUGCAGCCCAUGGCAAAGGAGGUGGAAAGAGAAGAUGUUUAAAGCCCCUUCCAACUCAAACCAUUCCAGGAUUCUGUGAACCAGGCCCAGGGAUGAUGUGAUGCUGAUCCACGGCAGUGAGAGGGACGUGCUUGUAUCAAUACCUGGAAGAAACUUGCUGCAUUUUCCAAUUGAUUAGUAACAUCAUCACUAGAUCUUAUAAUGUGUUUAUAGGCAAUUAAAUGUCACAGUUCAUUUGUAAGGAGAAUAAUUAUUGCUGCUGUAAAGAAAGAAAUACAGGUGAAGAAUUUACUCCAGUGACUUUAAGCUCACCCCUGUUACGUGCAGGAGCA